rnacentral:rRNA from 1 species
ACGGAGGAUGCAAGCGUUAUCCGGAUUUAUUGGGCGUAAAGCGUCCGCAGGUGGUUAUUCAAGUCUGCUGUUAAAGCGCGAGGCUUAACUUCGUACAGGCAGUGGAAACUGGAUGACUGGAGUAUGGUAGGGGUAGCGGGAAUUCCCAGUGUAGCGGUGAAAUGCGUAGAUAUUGGGAAGAACACCAGCGGCGAAAGCGCGCUACUGGGCCAUUACUGACACUCAUGGACGAAAGCUAGGGGAGCGAAAGGGAUUAGAUACCCCUGUAGUCCUAGCUGUAAACGAUGGGUACUAGGUGUUGACCGUAUCGACCCGGUCAGUGCCGUAGCUAACGCGUUAAGUACCCCGCCUGGGGAGUAUGCACGCAAGUGUG